UACCAAAAACACAGGUUUGUGCUAAAUCGAAAGAUGACGUAUACGAGCUGACGCCUGCCCGGUGCUGGAAGGUUAAAAGGAGAUGUGCAAGCAUUGAAUUGAAGCCCCAGUGAACGGCGGCCGUAACUAUAACGGUCCUAAGGUAGCGAAAUUCCUUGUCAGGUAAGUUCUGACCCGCAUGAAAGGCGUAAUGAUCUGGGCACUGUCUCAACAGCCCGCCCGGCGAAAUUGUAGUACCGGUGAAGAUGCCGGUUACCCGCGACAAGACGGAAAGACCCCAUGGAGCUUUACUGUAGCCUAAUAUUGGGUUUCGGUGUUGCAUGCACAGGAUAGAUGGGACGCUAGGAAGUGAGUGCUUUGGCAUUCAUGGAGCGGCCGUUGGGAUACCAUCCUUGCGACAUUGGAAUUCUAACCUGCGCCUUUGAAUCAAGGCGGGGGACAUUGUUAGGUGGGCAGUUUGACUGGGGCGGUCGCCUCCUAAAGAGUAGCGGAGGCGUUCAAAGGUUGGCUCGUCCUGGACGGAAACCAGGAGAGAGAGUGCAAACGCAAAAGCCAGCCUGACUGCGAGACUGACGGGUCGAGCAGAGACGAAAGUCGGAGUUAGUGAUCCGGUGGUAUGUGAGUGGAAAUGCCAUCGCUCAACGGAUAAAAGUUACCCUGGGGAUAACAGGCUGAUCUCCCCCAAGAGUCCACAUCGACGGGGAGGUUUGGCACCUCGAUGUCGGCUCAUCGCAUCCUGGGGCUGUAUUCGGUCCCAAGGGUUUGGCUGUUCGCCAAUUAAAGCGGUACGCGAGCUGGGUUCAGAACGUCGUGAGACAGUUCGGUCCCUAUCUGUCGUGGGCGCAGGAUAUUUGAAAGGCGCUGUCCCUAGUACGAGAGGACCGGGAUGGACGAACCUCUGGUGCACCAGUUGUCACGCCAGUGGCACAGCUGGGCAGCUAUGUUCGGAUCGGAUAAACGCUGAAAGCAUCUAAGCGUGAAGCCGGCCUUAAGAUAAGAUAUCCCACUGAGACAAUCAGGUAAGACCCCUUGAAGACUACAAGGUUGAUAGGCACAAUGUGUAAGUGGCGUGAGUCAUUGAGCAAGCGUGUACUAAUAGGUCGAGGGCUUGACCC
rnacentral:rRNA from 1 species